AUCCACAUAGCGUGUGGGAGGGAACUGACACUUUCUUUUGAUGAGAAGUAAGACUUUUGCCCAUAGUUACUCUUGUCAGAGUGGUCUGACAUGUGGACGCCUGCAAAAUGUGUUCCGGUUCAUUUUGUUUUUUAAAGCAACUUCUUGGGGGAGAAGCAGAAGGGAAACUGACCACCCUGCAUGAGCUACACUAAAUGUGUCUGUGAAGCUGGGUCCUUUCUCUCAGGUGAUCAGAACAACUAUGAUCUCACGUGGGAAUUCCUACAGCAUCUCUCUGGUCCAUCACAAGUCCCAGAGAUGGACCCUCAGGCUGCCAACCUUGGCCCAGUCCAAUCAAUAGGAUCAUCUGAACUCAUGAGGAAAGGCAGAAGUCACUCACGAAAAGGGUUUCAGGGGAACUACAGACCUCUCCCGUAUUCCAGUGGAAAUAUCUGGUGGAUGCCUACAAGAUGCCUGAGAUCAAAAGCCCCCCUCUGCCACUUACUAGCUGUGUUCUUGAGCAAGUUACUUAGAUUCUGGGAGCCUUAAUUUCUUCCUUUCCUGAAUGGCUAUGAUCAUAUUUAUGAUAACAGUUACUCAGAGUACUAAAAGAAAUAUAAAUCAGUUUACAUACAGUGACUACUUUUUAAAAAAGUAAGAUUGACUUUAUUUAUUUUAAAAAUUUAUUUCCUUGUUGUUUGCUGUGCCGGGUGGUUGCUGCUGCGUGCGGGCUUCCUCUAGUUGCGGUGAGUGGGGACUACU